GGUACAAGAAUAUACAAGGCUUCAGUCUGAAACCACACAUAGCAAACAUGAAUGACGUGUCACAGAAGGCAGAGAAGGCAUUUGCUGAAGCCAGGAGAAGCAUGGUAUUAGAUGAUGAUUCCCCAGAGAUUUAUAAAGCAGUCUCUCAAGAAUCUCUAACGCCUGGAAAACUGGAAAUUAAUUUUGAACAAUUAUUAAGAC
rnacentral:lncRNA from 1 species